CUGGAAAUCAUUGAUUUUUCAGAGUGUUAUUGGCAGCGAAACAAUUCGAACGUAUUUUGCUGGCUGGAAAGGAAUCUCUGAUGGCUGGCUUUAUUUAGCCAACCAUCAGAUUGGAUAGAUUGGAUUCUUCACUAAAUCGAAUGCUACUGGCGACAAAAGAACACCGCCAACAGUUCGGUUGCACUCUCAAUUGAAAUAAAAAAAAUGAAAAAAAAAAAAACAAAAAAUUGUCUACACGUUCCCGGUGGAUUCGAAAUUGCGCCCAGAUUUGUUAUUCUAUUAGAUGAAAUGAGAAGACAAUAGUACAGAUAGUAUCAAAUUGAAAUUUCCAUUAACCUAAGUGCACGAUAACAAGUGAGACUGUUUGUGUAGAUUUGUGCGUUACACAGCAGCAUUUUUCGCAAUUUGUAGAAUCCAACUAAGAACUCCCGAUGUGUACAAUCGUACAGCAUUAUUUAACAUUAACCCACCACAUAGCCCUCGACAAUUUCCCCAGCGCUCGAGUCUCAUGGGGCCUUAUGAGAUUCGAACCUUGGUACCUCUGCGCAUGAGGCAAGCAGUUUGCCAGUGCGCCAAAGAGAGAGGUGCUUGACAAAUUUUAAAACUUUUACAUUUGAAAACUAUAUUUACUUUGAAGUUGGAUUACAUUAAAUUGCAAUAGAAAUGCGUGGAUCACGUUAAUGAUAAAUUAGUGCUAAUCUUUUAACAAUUAAUUAAAUUGUUUCAAAUCAAAUAAAAAAAAAUUAGAAAAAAAUUUAACUCGAUUUCGAACCUGUGCUCGUACGACAAAAUAAUAAUUACAAAUGUGACGCUCUAGCCGCCUACACCAAACUGGCUUACGGCGAUCUCUGAUUUUAUUCGUGUCACUACAUUAACAUUACUCUGGAGGAAACAGACGAAUCAACGAUUUAUGCACAUGUAGGCAGUAGCAUGCACAUGUUUCUAACACAUUGACGUCCAAUGCAUCGAGUUGAUGUAGAUGGCGCUGUCACCUCAUAUCGUCAGAGUUUGAUUGUAGUGAUGAGUCAUUGUUACGCCGUAAUUUUGCAUGUGUACCAAUAACAUCAGUAAUCAACUUCACACUCACAUUUAGGUCUUAGGAAUUCUAUUGUGUCACUCAAUAUAGCCUUUCGUUCAUGUACACAUGUUCGACUCGUAAGGUCAGACAAUAUUGUGUUGUAUAACAAUCGUAUGUACGUUGAGCUUUGUAGCUCCUCUGGCCGAGUGGGUUAGAGCGUGGAUUCAGCAAUUUACGGUUUGUUUUGGGGCCAGUGUUCGAAAUCUGUUCAUUUUUUUCUUUUUUUUUUUUUCAUUUAAUUACUUUAGUUAUUUGUAUGUAAAGUAUCCGAUUAAUCAUUGCAAAUGUACCAUCUAACCAUCAAUCGGGUAAUCAUUCAUUGCAACCCCAAAAGCAGAUGAUUAGGAUGUGAAUGUAAGAAAAUUAUUUGAAAUUUGUUUGACUUAUGUUAAUAAAAUGUUGUACGAAUGAUGAAA